UACGAAGGGGGCUAGCGUUGCUCGGAAUUACUGGGCGUAAAGGGCGCGUAGGCGGACCGUUUAGUCAGAGGUGAAAGCCCAGGGCUCAACCUUGGAACUGCCUUUGAUACUGGCUGUCUUGAGUUCGGGAGAGGUGAGUGGAAUGCCGAGUGUAGAGGUGAAAUUCGUAGAUAUUCGGCGGAACACCAGUGGCGAAGGCGACUCACUGGCCCGAUACUGACGCUGAGGCGCGAAAGCGUGGGGAGCAAACAGG
rnacentral:rRNA from 1 species